ensembl:lncRNA
GCGGUGGCGCGGGGCGGGGGCAGAGGGCGGGGUUGUGGCGUAGCGGCGUCCCGCGGUUCCGAAGGUUUGUGGGCGUGAUAUGUUGGGCGUGGGACAGGUGACGGCAAAGGUCACAAGGCUGGAAUGAAGCCGCCGUCCGCUGCAAGCAAGCCUUGGGCGGUCACGAAGGCUCCCCGUUGCUCAAUGCAAACAGCUCGGUGCUGGGUGCUUGGGCAAUGCCUGCAAUUCAGCGCCCAGAAAGUCUGGAAGAUUAGCCGAGCCGAUCCUCGGUGUCAUUUGCGGCGUAACAGGUGCAGAAUCGAAACCGGCCUUCAGGCUGUGAGCUUAAGGGUAACAUAAACCAGCACAAACAGCAGAGCCACCUGUAAGGCACUGCAGCUGUCAGAAAAACGCGACGCAAAACCAACGUGCUGAAAAUUGAAUCCCCUGCAUGUAUAUAUAUAUGAGUGUUCAGUUGUAGUGCUCAGGUAGCCGUUCCCUUUCCCCUCCGUGCUGCCGUGCUUUGCUUGUUGCACACACAGUGCUGGAGAAGUAUCCUCUUCUCAGAGUAGAUCAAGAUAGAUUGGAAGUGAUUGCCAAACAAGCCGUACCUCUGAAGGUGUUGGCACAGGUUCUUUUUUCUCAAAGCAUUCCUGGACUUUCAGAAAGCUUACCAUUGAUUAAUAAGAAGACAGCUUGCCUUGGGCUGAUGUCUACAGCAGUACCUGCACCCUGUAUCUGCACACUAUUGUUCAUCUUCAUUUGAGAGGCGUAACUGAUUCUGUGUAAAUCCUUGGAUUUCUG